rnacentral:rRNA from 1 species
AUGGCCGGGGACUUCAAUAAAAUUCUGCAUGCACACGAAAAAGAAGGGGGUGCAACCCGAUCACAACAGUGCAUGCAAGCUUUUAGUGACACCCUACGUGACUGUAACCUUGAUGAUUUGGGUUACUCAGGAGACAUAUUCAGUUGGCGCAGAGGUCGUAUUCGUGAGAGGCUGGAUAGGGCAGUGGGAAAUAGCUCUUGGGCCGACCUUUUCCCUUGCUUUGGAGUCUCAAAUGAACCGUUCAAUAAAUCUGAUCAUCGCCCUAUAUUGAUCGACACUGAAUAUCAGUUGGGGCUGCAGCCGAGGGGUCCAGUGGGACAAAGAAAAUUUGAAGCAAGAUGCCUUGCUGAAGAGGACGUGGACACUAUUGUGCAGGAGGCUUGGGAGAGGGCAAAAUCACUAGGCAUCGAGCCGUUCUCACAAGUGACUAGUGAUGUUCAUCUUGCCUUACACAGAUGGGACAAAGAAACUUUGAAAGGUCCACGGACGAGACUACGAGAACUCCAGAAAAAACUAAAUGAGGUAAUGUCAGGGCCGCUAUCGGAUGAGGCAGUUGCUCAACAACAUGACCUACAUCUGCAGAUUGAAAACCUCCUUGAACAGGAGGAGAUUUACUGGAUGCAACGAGGCUGCGCAGAUUGGCUUUGUCGUGGGGAUCAGAAUACUGAUUUCUUCCACCGCGCAGCAACAGGGAGACAAAAGAAGAAUUUCAUUAAACGUUUGAAGGAUGAUGCGGGAAAUUGGUUAGAGGACCAGAACCAAAUUAAGAUGCAUGCGGCGUCUUAUUUUUCCUCUUUGUUCACAUCGGGUGUCCUGGAGCCCGACCAAGAGGUGCGAGUGAAUAAUUUCCUUUCAGAUUAUUUUGUGCCUACUAGGGGGCUCCGACAAGGAGACCCGCUGUCACCCUAUUUGUUUUUACUAUGUGCCGAGGGUCUUUCAAGCCUACUUAUGCAUGAGGAGGAGAAUGGAAAUCUGUUGGGGGUUAAGGUGUGCAGGGAUGCGCCGGCAGUGUCCCACCUUUUGUUCGCUUUUGACUCACUCGUUCUCAUGAGGGCGGACGCCACCAAUGCAGCGAGUCUCCGCCGCGCACUUGAUGAUUAUUGUGCAGCUUCCGGCCAGCUGAGUUUAUGGAGUGGUAUCCAAACUUUCAAAAAAGGGUACAUUUGGAGGGUGGGAGACGGCACCCAAAUCAGCAUAUGGGAUGACCCGUGGGUUCCUAGCAGCCCAAACAGAAGAGUUAUGACAAGGAGAGGGAUAUUCACGGUUAAGACCGCCUAUCAUAUGGAGUGGGAUCACCAGCAUGAACGAAAGUUGAGGAGAACCAAUUCUAUGAUCUCCGCAAGUACUAGUCCUAUAUGGAGUAUUCUCUGGAAAUUUGCCCUAUUUGCGGUCUGGAUUGUGAGAGUAUCAGCCAUGCUUUCUUCAAGUGUCAACGUGUUCAAGCUGUCUGGUGUGCACUGGGCAUGGCAAACAGGAUCAACGAGCUUUGCUCCCUCGAAAGGGAAGCUACAGGAUCCUACACGAUCAGCACAAGCAAUUUCGACGCUGUCCAAGAACUUCUCAAGAGCAAAUAAAAAGGGUCCAGGCCAGAUUGAGAGACAUGGAUGGACCAAGCCAAGUGAGGGAUUUGUAAAACUCAACGUAGAUGCCUCUUUUUCUGAGGACAGUGGUUCAGGGGGUUCAGGUGCAAUCUUACGCGAUGCUUCUGGAUCCUUCAUUGCAGCAUCAUGGAGCGACAUUCGAUUCAUUGAGGACGCGGCGACGGCGGAAGCCGGAGGGCUCCGAGACGGCCUUAUUCUGGCAAACGACAUGGGCUGCAACAAACUGGUGAUUGAGGCUGACUGUAUGGAAGUAAUCCAAGUGAUGCAAUCUGGAGGCAACUCGCUUGGACCGGCAACAGCUAUUUAUGAGGAGCGCGCUUUUAUUGUCGUAAUUUUGCUUCAGUUAGUUUUCAACACUGCCCUAGGGAAGCCAAUAUGGCGGCUGAUAUGUUAG